CAGAGAGAGAAUGUGCUCGUACGCAUGAAUGGGUAUUACAAAUAGCGAAUUAAUCCUUUCCCUUUCAUAUAUUUACAAGAUGCUCCACUUCAAACAAUAAUAUUCUGUUAUUUUAACUAAGAUAUAAUAUAAACAAAUGGGAAGGGUUAAUAUGCAAAAAAAACUACCCACAUCCCACGAUCCCAUCGUAACUACCCACAUCCCACUACCCCCAUUCCCAUCAUCUGCACGUUCUAACCUAAGCCCAUAAAUAUCAUUG
rnacentral:lncRNA from 1 species